rnacentral:rRNA from 1 species
AUUGAACGCUGGCGGCAUGCCUUACACAUGCAAGUCGAACGGUAACGGGCCUUCGGGUGCCGACGAGUGGCGAACGGGUGAGUAAUGUAUCGGAACGUACCUUUCAGUGGGGGAUAACGUAGCGAAAGUUACGCUAAUACCGCAUAUUCUGUGAGCAGGAAAGCAGGGGAUCGCAAGACCUUGCGCUGAUUGAGCGGCCGAUAUCAGAUUAGCUAGUUGGUGAGGUAAAGGCUCACCAAGGCGACGAUCUGUAGCGGGUCUGAGAGGAUGAUCCGCCACACUGGAACUGAGACACGGUCCAGACUCCUACGGGAGGCAGCAGUGGGGAAUUUUGGACAAUGGGGGCAACCCUGAUCCAGCCAUGCCGCGUGAGUGAAGAAGGCCUUCGGGUU